rnacentral:rRNA from 1 species
UACGGGGGGGGCGAGCGUUGUUCGGAAUUACUGGGCGUAAAGGGCGCGUAGGCGGUCUGCUAAGUUGGAUGUGAAAACUCUGGGCUUAACCCAGAGCCUGCAUUCAAUACUGACAGGCUAGAGUUCUGGAGGGGAUAGCGGAAUUCCUGGUGUAGCGGUGAAAUGCGUAGAUAUCAGGAGGAACACCGGUGGCGAAGGCGGCUAUCUGGACAGAGUCUGACGCUGAGGCGGCGAAAGCUAGGGGAGCAAACAGG